UUGAUCAAUUAUAAGAGGUCAAGCCUGCCCAGUGACAUUGUUCAACGGCCGCGGUAUCCUAACCGUGCGAAGGUAGCGUAAUCACUUGUCCUUUAAAUAAGGACUAGUAUGAACGGCUUCACGAAGGCUAUACUGUCUCCUUAAUCUAAUCAAUUAAACUAAUCUCCCCGUGAAGAAGCGGGGAUUCGUCUAUAAGACGAGAAGACCCUAUGGAGCUUUAAACAUCUAAGACACUUGAUUAUAUCUACUAAACUUCAUGCAACCUAUCAUUUUGUCUUAAGUUUUAGGUUGGGGUGACCACGGAGAAAAAUUAAACCUCCACGUAGAAAGAAAAUUCUUUUCUAAGCAAAAAGCCACAUCUUAACGCAUCAAUAUAUUGACUUAAAUUGACCCA
rnacentral:rRNA from 1 species